rnacentral:rRNA from 1 species
UACGAAGGGGGCUAGCGUUGUUCGGAAUUACUGGGCGUAAAGCGCGUGUAGGCGGUUGUUCAAGUCAGGUGUGAAAGCCUUGAGCUCAACCUACAAGAAUGCACUUGAUACUGGAUGACUAGAGGACCGGAGAGGAUGGUGGAAUUCCCAGUGUAGUGGUGAAAUACGUAGAGAUUGGGAAGAACACCAGUGGCGAAGGCGGCUAUCUGGACGGUUUCUGACGCUAAGACGCGAAAGCGUGGGGAGCAAACAGG